AGAAUAACUUUCAUGCCUCAACGACCCGAGAAUUUUAUCAUUAUCCUUUCGAAUCGCCUCUGGAUGAUCGUCGAAAAACGGAGGAUUCAAUUGUUGUUCCGGUUUCUUACUCGUCGACUUUUUGUUCCAAUUGUGGUACUACCGGCUUAUUUGGCGGCACUGGAGGAGGAACACCGCGAGAUACUGGUGGCUUUUUCGAGGGCAGCAUACCGGAUGCUUGAAUCGCCGAACCAGAGCCAACAUGAAAACCAAGCUUUCCUGUAGCUUGUGUCGACGGUAUAAGUUUUACCGUGCCUCCAGGAUUUACAGGAGCAGGUACAACCACACGUUUGUCUACAGCCUGAGGAAUGAAUACACAGGAGAUCCGAUUUAACGUUCCGGUUAUCCCUUUGAAGCACCCCCACUAGAAGGGCACAUAUAGACGAUCGCUGCAUUUAAGAUAAUGAUUAAGAACAGAAAGAAAAAAAAUGGGGCAGUCGAAAUUAUACCAAAUCACCAGUCUAAAGCAAAGAAAUAAAUCAAUUGCCAGAGAAAUAGUAAUUGAAGAUGUUUGAGGAAGAGAUCAGCUUGUUACCUAAGCAAUUUCAUGAUAGAUAUGUUUAUUAAUUUUUAACUACAACCAGAACUGCGUUGAUUCCUAGUAACUUAAUAUAUCAUUUUGUAAAGUGAUAAAAGAGAUUAUUAUAAGGUAAUACGAAUUUUAUUUGCUUGC